UGGGGAAUAUUGGACAAUGGGCGCAAGCCUGAUCCAGCCAUGCCGCGUGAGUGAAGAAGGCCUUCGGGUUGUAAAGCUCUUUUGUCCGGAAAGAAAUCCUGUCGGUUAAUACCCGGCGGGGAUGACGGUACCGGAAGAAUAAGCACCGGCUAACUUCGUGCCAGCAGCCGCGGUAAUACGAAGGGUGCAAGCGUUACUCGGAAUUACUGGGCGUAAAGCGUGCGUAGGUGGUUCGUUAAGUCUGAUGUGAAAGCCCUGGGCUCAACCUGGGAACUGCAUUGGAUACUGGCGAUCUGGAGUGCGGUAGAGGGGUGCGGAAUUCCCGGUGUAGCAGUGAAAUGCGUAGAUAUCGGGAGGAACAUCCGUGGCGAAGGCGGCACCCUGGACCAGCACUGACACUGAGGCACGAAAGCGUGGGGAGCAAACAGG
rnacentral:rRNA from 2 species